rnacentral:lncRNA from 1 species
UGGGAUGGGAUCUUUGGGAUCCACAGCAGGAGUUUCCCUCCCUCUCUGGCACUCCUGGCUGCUCCUGGGCAGGUGUGGAGCAGGAGUGAGGUCACCCAGGAACCUGAGGUCACCCAGGAAUGUGAGCCCAGAGCCCUCUCCAGCCUCACCAGGGCGCUGGGAAUUCGGGAGUUGCUUUUUCAGGGAGGCAAAAGAAAUAUUUCCCUUCUCCUUUAUUUUUUUUUUCCCACUCGUGGUUGAUUUCCAUCUGGAAUUAACUCCACUCACCUGUACCUGGGGUGUUAUGGGAGACCUCAAGGCUUUAACCCUUCCCUCUCCAAGCAGAGAUGAUGGAUCCCCAAAUCCUGCCCAGUCCUGGGCUCCAGGCAGCCCCUGUGCCUUCCUCCCCUCCCUCUGCUCCAGAGCAAAUCCCAAAGAAAAUCCCUCCUGGAAAGAUGAACCCAGAGCCAAACACCCUGCCAAGGUCUGACCCUCUCCAGCCCAGGAAAUUCCCUGGCUACUUUUGGAGCUGGCCCGAGGCUGAGCAGGUUGGAAGGCAUUUAAAAUCCCAUUUAUUGCAAUAUUCAGGGAGAAAAGGUUUGGGUAUUACACCCAGAGGUCCUCCACAGCAUCUCCCAGCAGCCUGAGGAGGUUUUAUUUUGAUAUCUAUUACACUGUGGUGUUAAAUACCUGAUAUUAAGAGGUAUUUAUUGAAAUAAUUAUUAUUGUUGUUACUAUUAAUAUCAUAAUAAUUAUUAUUUUAUAUAUUUUUUUUUAAUUUUUAUUUUAAAAAAUACUGGGGUUUUUGGCCCAGUCUCUCAUUCCAGAGGUGGGGAUGCAGAUCUCGGGAUUUCUUUCCCUGUCCCGAUCUGCAGGCGACAGUGCCCUCUAGUGCCCCCCACCCCUGCCCAGCCCCUGGCACAGGAACCUCUCGAAUCCCCAAAUUUUUUAGGGCUUCUGGCUGUGAUUCCAUCCCAAUUCAUCAUUCAGGCGGUGCCUGGGGAUGUUGAGGCAGUCAAGGUUAUCCCUGCAGGGAAUUUCCAUCUUCCUGUUGUUGACGGGGAUUUUUCCCACUUUNCCAGACAGGCACUGGACAGAAACACGAGGAUUUUCUGCCCGCUGAGCUGCAGCUGCUCUGCUCCAUCCCCAGGGGAGGGAGGCAAGGAGGGGUGCAGAGGCAGGAUGGCUCCAGCAGCAGGACAGGGACAGGCUGGAGUCCAGCUGAUCCUUGCACAACAGCCCCUGGAGUGUGCUGGGAGCCGUGCCCGGCCCUCGCUCGCUCACUUCUAACCCAAUGCUGCCUUCUCACCACAGCCAUGCAAAAGGAGGGUUUUGCUUCACAGUGACCUCAUGAAUGCAAGCCACUGCCAAUUCUCCAUCCAUCUUGGCGUUUAAAACAUCAACACCUCCCUCCCAAAUGGAAAGGGAGUCAGAGGUCCUGUGCUUCCCUGUGCCCUUUGCUCUCGCUCUGUCCUCAGCUGGGGAUUGCC